rnacentral:rRNA from 1 species
GAUGAACGCUGGCGGCGUGCCUAAUACAUGCAAGUCGAGCGAACAGACGAGGAGCUUGCUCCUCUGACGUUAGCGGCGGACGGGUGAGUAACAUGUGGAUAACCUACCUAUAAGACUGGGAUAACUUCGGGAAACCGGAGCUAAUACCGGAUAAUAUAUUGAACCGCAUGGUUCAAUAGUGAAAGACGGUUUUGCUGUCACUUAUAGAUGGAUCCGCGUCGCAUUAGCUAGUUGGUAAGGUAACGGCUUACCAAGGCAACGAUGCGUAGCCGACCUGAGAGGGUGAUCGGCCACACUGGAACUGAGACACGGUCCAGACUCCUACGGGAGGCAGCAGUGGGGAAUCUUCCGCAAUGGGCGAAAGCCUGACGGAGCAACGCCGCGUGAGUGAUGAAGGUCUUCGGAUCGUAAAACUCUGUUAUUAGGGAAGAACAAAUGUGUAAGUAACUAUGCACGUCUUGACGGUACCUAAUCAGAAAGCCACGGCUAACUACGUG